GACGAACGCUGGCGGCGUGCUUAACACAUGCAAGUCGAGGGCACUAUUGGGGCAGCCUGGUAGUGACCGGCGAACGGGUGCGUAACACGUGAGCGACCUUGCCUCGUGGUGGGGGAUAGCCGGCCCAACGGCCGGGUAAUACCGCAUAUGGUAGUUUCUUCGCAUGGGGAGACUAGCAAAGCCUUGGAGCAAUCCAAUGGCGCCACAGGGGGGGCGGUC
rnacentral:rRNA from 1 species